rnacentral:rRNA from 1 species
AGUCUGGUGCCAGCAGCCGCGGUAAUUCCAGCUCCAAUAGCGUAUAUUAAAGUUGUUGCAGUUAAAAAGCUCGUAGUUGAAAUUUUGAUUGUAGCGGUCAGUCUCUCAACAGUGAGUGCUAGAUGUGCUGUGGUCAUGUUUCGUUGGAACGUGUGUGGCAUUGAGUUGUCGUGCAUGGGAAGACGAUCGUUUACUGUGAAAAAAUUAGAGUGUUCAAAGCAGGCUUAUGCCGUUGAAUAUAUUAGCAUGGAAUAAUAAGAUAGGACCAGGGUACUAUUUUGUUGGUUUGUGCACCUUGGUAAUGAUUAAUAGGGACAGUUGGGGAUAUUCGUAUUGCGGUGUCAGAGGUGAAAUUCUUGGAUUUCCGCAAGACGAGCUACUGCGAAAGCAUUUAUCAAGGAUGUUUUCAUUAAUCAAGAACGAAAGUUAGGGGAUCGAAGAUGAUUAGAUACCAUCGUAGUCUUAACCAUAAACUAUGCCGACAAGGGAUUGGCAGGGUGUGUUUACGCCUCUGUCAGCACCUUAGGAGAAAUCAUAAGUUUUUGGGUUCCGGGGGGAGUAUGGUCGCAAGGCUCAAACUUAAAGACAUUGACGGAAGGGCACCACCAGGAGUGGAGCCUGCGGCUUAAUUUGACUCAACACGGGAAAACUUACCAGGUCCAGACAUAGUGAGGAUUGACAGAUUGAGAGCUCUUUCUUGAUUCUAUGGGUGGUGGUGCAUGGCCGUUCUUAGUUGGUGGAGUGAUUUGUCUUGUUAAUUCCGUUAACGAACGAGACCCCCGCCUGCUAAAUAGAUGGUCUAGCGAUUUUUCACUGGAAACAUCUUCUUAGAGGGACGUGCGUUCUAUUAGACGCAGGAAGAUGGGGGCAAUAACAGGACUGUGAUGCCCUUAGAUGUCCUGGGCCGCACGCGCGCUACACUGAUGCAUUCAACGAGUUGCCUUCACCGAGAGGUGUGGGAAAUCUUGGAAUGUGCAUCGUGAUAGGGAUAGAUUCUUGUAAUUUUUAAUCUUGAACGAGGAAUUCCUAGUAAACGCAGAUCAUCAAUCUGCAUUGAUUACGUCCCUGCCCUUUGUACACACCGCCCGUCGCACCUACCGAUUGAAUGGUCCGGUGAAGCCUCGGGAUUGUGAUGACUUUUCUUCAUUGAGAGGUCGUUGCGAGAACUUGUCUAAACCUUAUUAUUUAGAGGAAGGUGAAGUC